GCUGGCGGCAGGCCUAACACAUGCAAGUCGAGCGGUAACAUUUCUAGCUUGCUAGAAGAUGACGUGCGGCGGACGGGUGAGUAACGCGUAGAAAUCUACCUAGUAGUGGGGGAUAGCCCAGAGAAAUUUGGAUUAAUACCGCAUACGCCCUACGGGGGAAAGCGGGGGAUCUUCGGACCUCGUGCUAUUAGAUGAGUCUGCGUCGGAUUAGCUUGUUGGUGAGGUAAUGGCUCACCAAGGCGACGAUCCGUAGCUGGUCUGAGAGGAUGACCAGCCACACUGGAACUGAGACACGGUCCAGACUCCUACGGGAGGCAGCAGUGGGGAAUAUUGCACAAUGGGCGCAAGCCUGAUGCAGCCAUGCCGCGUGUGUGAAGAAGGCCUUAGGGUUGUAAAGCACUUUCAGCAGUGAGGAAAGGGGUGUCGUUAAUAGCGCCAUCCUGUGACGUUAACUGCAGAAGAAGGACCGGCUAACUCCGUG
rnacentral:rRNA from 1 species